ensembl:lncRNA
AGUCACUAGGAUGUGUCUGACCCUUUUGUGACCCAAUAGACUAUAGCCUGCCAGGCUCCACUGUCCAUGGGAUUUCCCAUGCAAGCAUACUCCUUCCACCUCCAGGGGAUUUUCCUGACCCAGGGAUCGAACCUGCAUCUCCUGCAUUGGUAGUGAAGUACAGACUUCACCAAACUUUGUCUGUUUAGCAGUUGGAGCGACAGUAACACAUGAUGCUGAAGAUCAAUUAAAAUUAUGAGCUGUGUUCAUAUUUUUGGCUCCUGAAAUCUUAUUUUGCAAGACAGAGAUGGUGAACUGCUGCUGCUGCUGCUGCUGCUAAGUCACAUCAGUCAUGUCCAACUCUGUGUGACCCCAUAGAUGGCAGCCCACCAGGCACCCCCGUCCAUAGGAUUCUCCAGGCAAGAACCCUGGAGUGGGUUGCGAUUUCCUUCUCCAGUCAUGAAAGUAAAAAGUGAAAGUGAAGUCGGUCAGUCGUGUCUGCCUCUUCGCAACCCCAUGGAUUAUAGC